UACGUAGGGGGCUAGCGUUGUCCGGAUUUAUUGGGCGUAAAGAGCGUGUAGGCGGCCAGAUAGGUCUGCUGUGAAAACUCGAGGCUCAACCUCGAGCUGUCGGCGGAAACCAUCUGGCUAGAGUCCGGAAGAGGAGAGUGGAAUUCCCGGUGUAGCGGUGAAAUGCGUAGAUAUCUGGAGGAACACCGGUGGCGAAGGCGGCAUCCUGGACCGGUAUUGACGCUGAGGCGCGAAAGCCAGGGGAGCAAACGGG
rnacentral:rRNA from 1 species